UGCCUACGGGGGGCAGCAGUGGGGAAUAUUGCACAAUGGGGGAAACCCUGAUGCAGCGACGCCGCGUGAGCGAUGAAGUAUUUCGGUAUGUAAAGCUCUAUCAGCAGGGAAGAAAAUGACGGUACCUGACUAAGAAGCCCCGGCUAACUACGUGCCAGCAGCCGCGGUAAUACGUAGGGGGCAAGCGUUAUCCGGAUUUACUGGGUGUAAAGGGAGCGUAGACGGCUUGGCAAGCCAGAUGUGAAAUACCGGGGCUCAACCCCGGGACUGCAUUUGGAACUGUUAAGCUGGAGUGU
rnacentral:rRNA from 1 species